rnacentral:tRNA from 1 species
GCGGACGUGGCGAAAUCGGUAGACGCAGCAGACUUUGACCAUCGAAUUGGAGUGCCCGCGGGGAAAUCCGCGGAGUAGAACCGCUCAAAGUCGGGGAACGCCGGGGGGCUCACGCUCCUGGCCAAUCCCGAGCCAAUCCCUCGUCGAGGGAAGGUGUAGAGACUGGACGGGCGGCACCUGCGGCCGAAAGGCAUGGUGAAGGGACAGUCCAGACCACGAACGCCGCAAGGCGGCGGCGAAAGCCGAAGUGGUACGAAAAUCUGCUUCUCUCUGAGAGUACGGGUUCGAGUCCCGUCGUCCGCACCA